rnacentral:lncRNA from 1 species
GAAACCCUUCAAAGCCUUCUCAGGCUCAUUGCCUACACCUGUCCACUAGGAGAGCCGGGUAGCCGGGUCUCUCCCUCACAGAGGCUGUACCUGCUAACUCCUCCUGCUGUUACUGAUGCUUGCUGAUGCUGUUUCUGUUGCUGCUACUGCUUACCCUUCACUUCACUGCCCUCCCAUUCACCCGGACUGAACAACUUCUCCGUCUCCGUCUUCCUUGGCUUGGCGCUCCCAUCCAUCACACGGAAUCAGGCAGUCACCGAGUCCUGUUUGAUUCUGAACAACAUCUUGUGUCAACUAGAGAAAACACAGAACUAUUAAAUAGUCAAAAUCACUCUUUAAUCAAGGGAAAAGGGGUUCGCGCUACUAAUGCAACAACAGAGCUGAUUUCCAAGACUGCACAGAGUCAAGACGCCCUGGUCACCAGCCCCUGGGAGUGCCACCGACUCAGGAUGGACUCCGAGGAACAAAAGAACUUGGGGAACCUAUAUGCCACUCUAGAUGACCUGGGGGGUUUAGGAUUAGAGGGACAGUUGAUUGACUUUACAAUGGUAAGAAAGGAAAAUUAAGAGUUCCAGACAGGAAUACUAGUGAGGGACUGGGGCCCUACAAUGGACACAAAAGGGAAAGACUCAGCCUAGGGCUGGGUCACCUUGGUCAUGGACCUUAGCCUAGGGGGAGAAACCAUUGGGACAAAAGGGAUGUUCAAUAUUGGAUGGGAUUAGCUGUUCCCACCCAAACUACCAGGAAGUUCGCUGUCUGGGGAAGAGGGACCUUCCCUCAGGGGGAAACUCUCCUGUGACAAGGUCAAAACCUGGGGUUUCUAUACUCAAACUAAAUAAACUGGGGAUCUCUAGAUUUCCA